GAAACUGGCCCGUGAGUCAUCUCUCAUGGCCCGAGAAACUUGGGAAGUCUUACUGUUGUUUCUUCUGCAGAUUAACGACAUACUUCUGGCCCCACCAACUGUUCAAGGUGGCAUUGCUGAGAAUCUAGCAGAGAAGUUGAUUGGUGUUCUCUUUGAGGUGUGGUUACUAGCUUGUACUCGGUGCUUCCCAACACCUCCUUAUUGGAAAACAGCCAAGGAGAUGGUGGCUAACUGGAGGCAUCACCCAGCAGUGGUGGAGCAGUGGAGCAAGGUCAUUUGUGCACUCACUUCCAGAUUGCUACGCUUUACAUAUGGUCCUUCAUUUCCUGCAUUUAAAGUUCCCGAUGAAGAUGCCAGUCUGAUCCCUCCAGAAAUGGAUAAUGAGUGUGUUGCACAGACAUGGUUUCGCUUUUUACACAUGUUAAGGAACAGUUCUUGAAUGUGAGCGGAAUGCCGCAAGAAUUGAAUCAAUAUCCCUGCCUUAAACAUCUGCCUCAAAUAUUUUUUCGUGCCAUGCGUGGAAUCAGCUGUCUGGUGGAUGCAUUCUUAGGUAUUUCUAGACCCCGAUCAGACAGUGCUCCCCCAACACCCGUGAAUAGAUUAAGUAUGCCUCAAAGUGCUGCUGUCAGUACCACCCCCCCACAUAACCGGAGGCACCGGGCUGUUACUGUGAAUAAGGCCACCAUGAAGACAAGCACAGUUAGUACUGCUCAUGCCUCUAAAGUUCAGCACCAGACGUCCUCCACCUCUCCUCUGUCAAGUCCAAAUCAGACUAGUUCAGAACCCCGGCCACUGCCUGCCCCUCGGAGACCAAAGGUUAACAGCAUCUUGAAUCUCUUUGGAUCAUGGUUAUUUGAUGCAGCAUUUGUUCACUGUAAACUUCAUAAUGGGAUAAACAGAGACAGCAGCAUGACUGCAUCUUUUAUCCAAAUUCUUCUUUCUUAUAAAUCUUCCAUUACAACACAAGCUAGCAUGGAGUUUCGACGGAAAGGGUCACAAAUGUCCACAGACACCAUGGUUUCCAAU
rnacentral:lncRNA from 1 species